AUCAGCUUCUUUUUGUGAACGAAAUAUGAAACAAAACUUUUCACUAACCUUCACCAUAUAAACUCCAAUAAGCCUCUAUCAACUCCCAUCAACAUAUUUAAAAUCAAUAACCAGUUACAAAUUCACCCCUAUUUUAUUUCCAUAAAAAUAUCUGCAAAACAACAAAGCAAAUCAAAGCAAAGAAGGAAAAACACCGAAUUUCUUCUGCUCUCGAAGCCGCUUCUUCGCACUGAAAUUGGGAAAAAGGAGGUAGAAGCAAAAGGGAUAGAGUCUGAGAACUGAAGAACACGUGAAAGAGAGAAGAGCCAAAGGAGAAGAAGACCUUCGAAGAUUCGACUCUGAGAUUGAAGUAGCGGUUUAAGCGAUCGGUGAGGAUGACUCGUAGAGUUUAUUCGAUUAUGUGGAGUCGUGUCGGUCAUGCUCUGAUCUUGUAACACUGGGGGUCGAUAGUCUUAGAGUUACUCGAUAUACGUGUUGCCAUUAUUGGUUAUGAAUUAUGUAUUGUUGAUUUGUUUGGAUAUGUUUCCUAACAUUGUUAAAAUGAGUUCCGCUGUGCUAAACACAUGUUUUGAUAUUUGGUUUAAUUCUA